CAUAACAAAUUGUAUAGUUAUAUGUCAUUUCCCACUUAAUGAGUUGUUAUAGCUGUUAUCAUGGUAAUGUUUUGACCAUGUCUCAGAUACUGCAUGUGCCCAUAAAAAAGUGUAAUCUAGGACACACCCUUUUGUUUUGAUAAUGACAGCAUUUAGCUUUGUAAUGAUAGCUAGUGUAUCUUUUUUCUUCUAAUCUACAGAUUUACCUGCGGCUUCCAGAUGAUCUGAAGAUCGUGAAUAUAGAAAAUAUUGUCAAUUUGAUAUUGCUAAUGACCCAGUCAUGUCUGCUGAAGCCCAGAAAUUUCCAGACCAUGACAUUAAUGAAUAUUUCUUGAAUGGAAUGCAUGAGGAUUAGAAUGGAACCUUAUUCUGCCUUUUUACCAACUCACACCAUCUUUUCAAGAUUUAUGGAGCCAACCACAGAAGAAUUUGUUCUAUACACAUCAUUCAUAACAUUCUUAUUUAUGUUGCAUAACUUUACAUGUUACUGGAUGAAUUGUGUUCACAUAAUGAAUACCAGCAAACUUUUUAUCGAGUGCACUUAAUUUGUAUUUUUCCUACCCAUCCCUCUAACAUAUAUUUUUAUAUAACAUAUUCAUAUACAUGUAACAUUUUUGGAAACAGCUAUUUUUUUUAAAUUGGAAUUUAGCCUUACUAUUUUAUACAAUUUUUUUUAUAGGGACUUGGACACGAUUUUAGAUCAAAAUUUUGAUUUCAAUUUCUUUAUGCAUAAAAUGAUAUACUUGCACAUUUUGAAUUAUUGACCAUAAUUUGAAUGUUAGAAGUCAAGUUAUGAAAGAGAUACAGGGGUAAGAAUUUAUUGUUAUGUAAACAAAGCUCGAGUCUUAUGUUUGUUUAAAAAUAAUAUAAAGUAUGAAAAUAACACUUCUUUGAGAAAAUGAUUCAUAGAAAAGAAGGUAAACUGAUUCGAUGUGAUCAUAAAUGAUAUUAUUAAUAAAAAAAGCAACAUUUGAAUGAAACUUACACCAAUAAAACACAUUCUUUUCAUUGUUUAAAUGUUAUGGAGUUUUAAUUACCUUUCAUAUGAAAAAUGACAUCUAAAUCUUAAAUUGCUGUACAUUAUAUCCUAUUCAUCUAAUGUAUCACUUUAUUUAUGUUGAACUUCGUGCCUAUUAGUAUAAUGAUUUUUUUAGAAUGAUAUAUGCAAUUUCAUUAAUUUAUUUUUCAUUUUAAGAAAAUUCAUUUUAAAAAUGAUCUCUAGACUUACAACCUGUGUAUUUUUUUUCAGUUUACAUAACACAGUGUAUUAAUUGAAUGUAGUUGUGAAGAUUUAUGUACAUGUACCUACAAGCAAUAUACAUUUAAUAUUCACCAGGUACAUGUACCGCCUACUAUAUUUGAUGAAUAAAUGUACUUCUUUCAUGCCUUUUUCAUGCCUUUUACUCAUUGUUAUAUGUAUUAAUUUAUUUAUAAUUAAAAUACUUUGAAAACUUU